rnacentral:rRNA from 1 species
GACGUAGGGGGCAAGCGUUGUCCGGAAUCACUGGGCGUAAAGCGCACGUAGGCGGGACGGUGCGUCGGUGCUGAAAGCGCCAGGCUUAACCUGGCGAGGCGUGCCGAUACGACCGACCUCGAGGCAGACAGAGGGUGGCGGAAUUCCGGGUGUAGUGGUGAAAUGCGUAGAGAUCCGGAGGAACGCCGGUGGCGAAAGCGGCCACCUGGGUCUGACCUGACGCUGAGGUGCGAAAGCGUGGGGAGCAAACCGG